AAGCUCCAAUAAAGUAGCAUAAGGAACAAUACGAGGAAGGUUAGUAACGAACAAGUAACGAGAAGCAUGAGAAAAUAUAUCUAUAUCGUCAGAAUUAGAGUUAAGCGAGGAAGAACGAAAUCCGGUAACAGAUGGUUUACGAGUUAGUGCCUGAGCUGCUUGCUCAGAACUUGAAAUGUAACUUUGAAUGCCAUUUUGCGGAGGGGAUUCUGAGAGAACAGAAAUGUUUUGUUGCCAUGUACUAAGAGGUUGUCGAUCAGCUGACAAUAAAACAUUACCUGUAGUGAAUACUUUCCGUUCACCAACUCGACAAGCAUCAAUAGGAUUUAAAGGAGCGGUUGAAAACUGAUAGUUGUUUUCGUUAUUAACAAAGUUGGGGAAGAUAUUUUGAGUAUCCGUAAGAUAAUCAAUUGAGUUUGAUUCACUAGAUUUGGUAGCAGAUAGUUGAAUAUUUCUGAUGGGUGAAGGACCACUCAAAAGUAAAGUACUCUUGGGAGGGUAAUGCUCGUUAGUAGAGAGUAAUGGUGAGUCAAGAAGACUUGAGGGCAAAGCAUGCAUUGUUUUCUCCAUAUCAACUUGAAAAGUUGAAUCAGAUGGAGAAGGGGAGGUGAUUGAUAAAGGUGAUUCGGUUUCCAUAAUCAUUUAUGUGUUAAAACGGCAACAAUAAAGCUGGCCGAUAAUCCUUAAAAUAGAUAAAGAGUAAAAAAAAUUACUUAAUGACUAAUAACUUAUAAAACUUUGUUUAGAAGUGGUAAGAAAGGGAGAGAAAGGAACUGCAAAGGAUUAAGUUAAUACAAACUUUAAAAGACCAGAAAGUUGAAAAGAAAGGAAGGGGUUAGAUGGUUGUUAGUAAAUCAAACAAACGAUGAGAAAAUGCAAAAGAACAAAAGAAUAA